UGGAUUUGGGAUCUUCUGGAUCUGCAGGAAACACGGAAAAACUGAUCAAGAAGAAACAGUUCAGACUCCUGUUACAGAGAUCACGUAUGCUGAUCCGACUUUCCACAAAAGAGAAACACAGAAAUUGGAUAUUAAAGAGAAGGAUCAUGUGGAGUAUGCACCUCUUGCCAUGAGAAGAUGAUCAAUCUUCAGUGUUU